UUUUUUUUUUUUUUGGCUUUUUGCCAUUUUCUUGGGCCGCUUCUGCGGCAUAAUAAUAACAAUAAGGAAUGGGCCACCUCUGAAUGAGGAGCAUCAGAUGAAAAAUUAGAUUUUGUCCCCCAGGAAAAUAGGUGCAUCAAGAGCAAAAAAGCAAGAAGUUAAGGAAGAGAGGGAAAAGGUCUCAGGAAAUAUUAGAGCUGAUACAGACUUCUGAGAGUCUCGCUCGGAGCUUGUCAUUUUAUAGAUGUAAAGACCAGAGAUGUCAAGCUACCUUCUUUGAAGUCAGAAAGCCAAGCUCCACCAGAGAGUAGCUGAGGUUCCCCAGCCUCACUGGAGGAUCAGGACACUUCCUUCAUGAGUCUGUUCACUGGCUGAUUCAACAGUUCAUUGCCCCUGGGAGCUCCGGUAAUGAUGACAAUGAAGACCUGUGUAGGUUGUGGAAGGUGGAUGGGAUGGCGUGGCCAAAGCCCAAUUCCAAGCAUCACUGGGAUGCUCAGAUACAGACGCCCAGAGAAGAGCUGAAGCAGAAGGUCUCCAGCUGUGCAGAACUAUGGGUCUGGGGGUGGACCCCACAAUGAAACCCAGGGAAACGAGGAGCACUCUGACUUGCCGUUUUGAUUUCAGCCCAGCUGGGUAGAAUGAGGUUCAGCAUGUGGUUCGAUUUUCUCAUCAGUCAAGUUAAGGCCGACAGGCAAAAAAAUAAAAAUAAAAAACACAGUGGCCAAAAGGUAACAUUCAAAAAGAUUCCUGGAUCAAAGUCCCUUUGUGAGUACUGUUAUUUCACCCUCCUCUGAAUGGUAACCACUUCCCACAUGAGCCCCAAUAAGGCAACCGUGCAGCCCACAAAAGAGAUAGAAAUAUGACCACACUUCCCUCUUAUAAACAGGCGCGGGUAAACAUCUGAGACCACUGGUCCACAGCCGCGGUUAAACAAAGGGUCAGGGGGCCCCCUGGAAUGGCUGUCAGGCCCUCCACCUCCCCACAUGCUGACUCUCCCUGAGUGGGGGCCUUGGACCAUUAACUUCAGAACUCAAGCUGGGCAAACAGAACCGGCCUCACACUGGAACAGCUUCAUUGGGUUUCACGCCCAGGCUCCCCUGCCCCGACUCCUAGAGACUCGGGCAUUUGCAAGGCAAGUGGCAGCUCUGGUUCCCACCCAGAGCUCAAAGAUGCCUCUCUGUGGGGGGCCUCGCUAAGGGGAGGGGGAAUGGACUUGUCACGUGUGUGCUGAAGUGUACAAUUCCCUCCUACCCCCCACCUCUUGGAUCAGCCCUGGUGACAGAUUCUCCUUCUUUAACAAUAAAAACCCAAACUGCAACUUUCUCAAUCAAGCAAGAAAAACAGGCAAACCUCAAACAAACAUCUUUAAUUAGCUUUGAGCUGUUCCCCAGGGGGUCCCGAGUCAACCCAGCUCCUAGAUCAAUAGGAAAAUAAACCGUAAGGCCCUGGGACAGGGUUUGUUUUCUCUGAACUGGAAUGAAAAAGCAUUUGCAGACCUGAAGUCCGUUAUUAGGUGACUGUGACAGGAAGACUCCAGGGUAUUCCAUGUCUGCAGAAUGUUCCAUCAGAAAACAACCUCAAAUUU
rnacentral:lncRNA from 1 species